UCGAAGCGAUGUACGUCUGCUCAUUGGAAUGCGUUGUGAAAGUGUGUUCAGGCUCGCCACACGUAUUUAGAUUUCAUUGGAGCAAUGCGGAACGUGUUUGGUUUAAAUCGAAUUGCAUGUGCGAUCGCUUUUGCACGAACCAAAAUUCAGGCGUCACCCCUGCACGAAUCUUCACGAGUUUCUGGUCAGACCCGGGCAUAGAGCGCGUCUUUGACACGUACACGUAAUUGCGCACGAAUGAUAGAUCGUUUUAAUGCGCUUUGGACGAAUGAUCGGCUCCGUUGGGCCCUGCCGGCCGGGAUUUUGU
rnacentral:lncRNA from 1 species